rnacentral:lncRNA from 1 species
CUCCGACACCCAGGCUGAGCUGCUCCCAGCCAGCUCCAGACACUGCACCCACCGGGCUCCGCUCCACACGCCCUAAUCUCCCAACUGCCAGCCUUAGGACCAAGCAGAAGUGCAUCCCUGACCUUCCUGUGGUCCCAGCGCACAAUGGCCAAGACACCACAAUCACAAUGUAUCUUGCAGGUCAUAGCUCCCCUUUCUGAUAUUUUCAACUCAUGGGUAUGGCUCCUGCUGGCCUCCUUCACGCUUGCUCUGCACAAAAAUACACACACACUCACACGAUCACACUUGCACACACACACACACACUCCUCAGUACUACUGACAUCCAACCAAGUGCCGUGGACAGAAGAGCCAUCAUCUGCCCAGCGGUCUGGCACCCUGGAGACCUUUCCCCUGGCCUAGUUCUCCCGGCUCCUCAGGUCUCAGUUUGGACGCCCCAUUCCAAUCCAGGAAGCCUUCCUUACCCGGGCAAGCAAUGGAGACAGGCCCAAAGGCCAUGUGAAAGAUCAGGAAGAACACACAAAGCUCUGAGAGACUCGAGUGAAGGGAAUGAGGGGGGAGAUGCUCAAAACCAGAAAGACUGGCAAGGAAGGCAGGGACCAGAUCGUGGAGGAGACUUCAGAUCACACUCAGGGUCUCCAAUAAGAAUGACAAGAAAAAAUACUUUCCGCCGCCGCCGUCCCCAGAAGCCGCCAGGACCCUCGCGCUGUCGCCGCCGCGGCCCAGAUCCCCGCACCUGCCGGGGGAGACCUUCAGGCAGGGCUGCACCUUCGAACAAAGGGUAG